CCCAUGGCGCACUUGCAGCCCCAGCCUCGUAACAGUCAAGACCUGCUUCCCGUGAGCCUCUGCUCCUGGGUCUCCCAGGGCGCGUGCUCUCUACCCAGCAGUCCUUUCGCGGCCCCGAGAAGCGGACAGCCAGGACUCCAAGAUGGCGUCAGUUGUACCACUGAAGGAGAAGAGGCUCCUGGAUGUCAAAUUAGGGGAGCUGCCAAGCUGGAUACUGAUGCGGGAUUUCACCCCUAGAGGCAUUGCUGGAGCGUUUCAAAGAGGCCUUUCCUCAGUUUUUUCCUCAUUAGAACGGGCAGAACGUGGCCUCCUCUCCUGUUUGCAGGUUACUACCGGUAUUACAACAAGUACGUCAACGUGAAGAAAGGGAGCGUCGCGGGGCUUUCCAUGGUGCUGGCAGCUUACGUGCUUUUCAACUACUGCCGCUGUUACAAGGAGCUCAAACAUGAGCGGCUGCGCAAGUACCACUGAAGGAGGCGCACUCUGCAUUCCUGACCAGGACCUUUGCCCUGCACCCCUGAAUCCUUUCACAUCCUACUAGAGAAUCACCACCCAAUAAAAGAUGACUGUACCUGGA